rnacentral:rRNA from 1 species
UGCAGUCGAAGGUAACAGGUGUAGCAAUACAUGCUGACGAGUGGCGCACGGGUGCGUAACGCGUAUGCAACCUACCUAUAACUGGGGAAUAGCCUUCUGAAAGGAAGAUUAACACCGCAUAAAAUCAUGAAACGGCAUCGUUUUAUGAUCAAAUCAUUGAGGUUAUAGAUGGGCAUGCGUGACAUUAGCUAGUUGGUGAGGUAACGGCUCACCAAGGCUACGAUGUCUAGGGGGUCUGAGAGGAUGAUCCCCCACACUGGUACUGAGACACGGACCAGACUCCUACGGGAGGCAGCAGUAAGGAAUAUUGGACAAUGGGCGCAAGCCUGAUCCAGCCAUGCCGCGUGAAGGAUGGCGGCCCUCUGGGUUGUAAACUUCUUUUAUACGGGAAUAAACCCCUGGUUUCUACCGGGGCUGAAUGUACCGUAAGAAUAAGGAUCGGCUAACUUCGUGCCAGCAGCCGCGGUAAUACGAAGGAUCCAAGCGUUAUCCGGAUUUAUUGGGUUUAAAGGGUGCGUAGGCGGACUAUUAAGUCAGUGGUGAAAGCCUGCAGCUUAACUGCAGAACUGCCAUUGAUACUGAUGGUCUUGAGUACAUUUGAGGUGGGCGGAAUGUGUCAUGUAGUGGUGAAAUACUUAGAUAUGACACAGAACUCCGAUUGCGAAGGCAGCUCACUAAACUGUAACCGACGCUGAGGCACGAAAGCGUGGGGAUCAAACA